rnacentral:rRNA from 1 species
UUUUAGUGGCGACGGGUGAGUAACACGUAAGCAACCUACCCUAAAGACGAGGAUAACCAUUGGAAACAGUGGCUAAGACUGGAUAGGAAGAAAUAAGGCAUCUUUUUUCUUUUAAAAGACCUAGUGAUAGGUAUACUUUAGGAGGGGCUUGCGCCAUAUUAGUUAGUUGGUAGGGUAAUGGCCUACCAAGACGAUGAUGUGUAGCUGGACUGAGAGGUUGAACAGCCACAUUGGGACUGAGACACGGCCCAAACUCCUACGGGAGGCAGCAGUAGGGAAUUUUCGGCAAUGGAGGAAACUCUGACCGAGCAACGCCGCGUGAACGACGAAGUACUUUGGUAUGUAAAGUUCUUUUAUCAAGGAAGAAAAGCAAGUGGUGAACCAUUUGUUUGCCGGUACUUGAUGAAUAAGCCCCGGCUAAUUAUGUGCCAGCAGCCGCGGUAAGACAUAAGGGGCAAGUGUUAUCCGGAAUUAUUGGGCGUAAAGGGUGCGUAGGCGGUCUAGUAAGUCAGUGGUGUAAUGGCAACGCUCAACGUUGUCCGGCUAUUGAAACUGCUAAACUUGAGUUAGAUAGAGGCGAGUGGAAUUCCAUGUGUAGCGGUAAAAUGCGUAAAUAUAUGGAGGAACACCAGAGGCGUAGGCGGCUCGCUGGGUCUUAACUGACGCUGAGGCACGAAAGCGUGGGGAGCAAACAGGAUUAGAUACCCUGGUAGUCCACGCCGUAAACGAUGAGUACUAAGUGUCGGGUUAAACCGGUACUGAAGUUAACACAUUAAGUACUCCGCCUGAGUAGUACGUACGCAAGUAUGAAACUUAAAGGAAUUGACGGGACUCCGCACAAGCGGUGGAUCAUGUUGUUUAAUUCGAAGAUACCCGAAAAACCUUACCAGGUCUUGACAUGUUUUUGCGAAACGGUAGUAAUAUCGUGGAGGUUAUCAGAAACACAGGUGGUGCAUGGUUGUCGUCAGCUCGUGUCGUGAGAUGUUAGGUUAAGUCCUAAAACGAGCGAAACCCUUAUCGUUAGUUGCCAGCACGUUAUGGUGGGGACUUUAACGAGACUGCCAGUGAUAAAUUGGAGGAAGGUGAGGAUCACGUCAAAUCAGCAUGCCCCUUAUGACCUGGGCUACAAACGUGAUACAAUGGCUGUUACAAAGGGUAGCUGAAACGCAAGUUCUUGGCCAAUCCCCAAAAACAGUCUCAGUCCGGAUUGAAGUCUGCAACUCGACUUCAUGAAGUUGGAAUCGCUAGUAAUCGCGAAUCAGCAUGUCGCGGUGAAUACGUUCUCGGGGUUUGUACACACCGCCCGUCAAACCACGAAAGUUGGCAAUACCCCAAAACGGUAGCCUAACUCGUUUAUCGAGAGGGCGCUGUCUAAGGUAGGGUCGAUGAUUGGGGUUAAGUCGUAACAAGGUAUCCCUACCGGAAGGUGGGGAUGGAUCACCUCCUUUCU